rnacentral:rRNA from 1 species
GACGAACGCUGGCGGCGUGCUUAACACAUGCAAGUCGAACGGAAAGGCCCUGCUUUUGUGGGGUGCUCGAGUGGCGAACGGGUAAGUAACACGUGAGUAACCUGCCAUUGCCCUUGGGAUAACUUCAGGCAACUGGGGCUCAUACCGGAUAGGAGCUCCUGCUGCAUGGUGGGGGUUGGAAAGUUUCGGCGGUUGGGGAUGGACUAGCGGCUUAUCAGCUUGUUCGUGGGGUAGUGGCUUACCAAGGCUUGGACGGGUAGCAGGCCUGAGAGGGUGACCGGCCACAUUGGGACUGGGAUACGGCCCAGACUCCUACGGGAGGCAGCAGUGGGGAAGAUUGCACAAUGGGAUGGAGCCUGAUGCAGCAACGCCGCGUGGGGGAUGACGUCCAUCGGGUUGUAAUCCGCUUUCGCCUUUGACGAAGCGUGAGUGACGGUAAUGGGUAAAGAAGCACCGGCUAACUACGUG